AUGAAGUCACAAACAAAUGUCCUCAUGUCCCUGCUGCUCUGGGUGUCUGGUGCCUGUGCAGAUAUCGUAAUGACCCAGUCUCCAUCAUCCAUUGCUGUGUCAACAGGAGAGAAAGUCACCAUCAGCUGCAAGUCCAGUCAGAGUCUUUUAUACAGUAAAGAUCAAAAGAACUACUUGAGCUGGUACCAGCAGAAGCCAGGGCAGUCUCCUAAACUGCUAAUCUACUUUGAAUCCACUCGACACACUGGGGUCCCUGAUCGCUUCACAGGCAGUGGAUCUGAGACAGAUUUCACUCUCACGAUCAGCAGUGUCCAGGCUGAAGAUCUGGCAGACUAUUACUGUAUGCAGCAUUACAGUUAUCCUCCCACAGUGCUUCAGCCUCCAACAAACACUUCUGAGACUCUCAACAGCUGCCUGCACCACAGGCUGUCCUGCACCCGCACACUUCUCCCUUCUGCCAGUGAGCCUCAAACUCUGAUCAAAAUAUUUUCAGACCUGGGCAAGAUAUACGGUUUAAAUGUCUCUUAA